rnacentral:tRNA from 1 species
AAUCAAUGAACUUGAAUAAGUAACUAUUUUGAAAAUAGUAAAUAGAUUAAAUCUAUUGAUUU